UACGUAGGGUGCGAGCGUUGUCCGGAAUUACUGGGCGUAAAGAGCUCGUAGGUGGUUUGUCGCGUUGUCCGUGAAAACUCACAACUCAAUUGUGGGCGUGCGGGCGAUACGGGCAGACUGGAGUACUGCAGGGGAGACUUGAAUUCCUGGUGUAGCGGUGGAAUGCGCAGAUAUCAGGAGGAACACCGGUGGCGAAGGCGGGUCUCUGGGCAGUAACUGACGCUGAGGAGCGAAAGCGUGGGGAGCGAACAGG
rnacentral:rRNA from 1 species